AUUGAACGCUGGCGGCAGGCCUAACACAUGCAAGUCGAGCGGAUGAAGGGAGCUUGCUCCUGGAUUCAGCGGCGGACGGGUGAGUAAUGCCUAGGAAUCUGCCUGGUAGUGGGGGAUAACGUCCGGAAACGGGCGCUAAUACCGCAUACGUCCUGAGGGAGAAAGUGGGGGAUCUUCGGACCUCACGCUAUCAGAUGAGCCUAGGUCGGAUUAGCUAGUUGGUGGGGUAAAGGCCUACCAAGGCGACGAUCCGCAACUGGUCUGAGAGGAUGAUCAGUCACACUGGAACUGAGACACGGUCCAGACUCCUACGGGAGGCAGCAGUGGGGAAUAUUGGACAAUGGGCGAAAGCCUGAUCCAGCCAUGCCGCGUGUGUGAAGAAGGUCUUCGGAUUGUAAAGCACCUUAAGUUGGGAGGAAGGGCAGUAAGUUAAUACCUUGCUGUUUUGACGUUACCAACAGAAUAAGCACCGGCUAACUUCGUG
rnacentral:rRNA from 1 species